rnacentral:rRNA from 1 species
AUUGAACGCUGGCGGCAGGCCUAACACAUGCAAGUCGAACGAGGGGCGGACGGGUGAGUAAUGUCUGGGAAACUGCCUGAUGGUGGGGGAUAACUACUGGAAACGGUAGCUAAUACCGCAUACCAUCGGGUGUGCCCAGAGGGGAUUAGCUAGUAGGUGGGGUAAUGGCUCGCCGGGGCGACGAUCCCUAGCUGGUCUGAGAGGAUGACCGGCCACACGGGAACUGAGGGACGGUCCAGACGCCCACGGGACGACGGAGGGGGGAAUAGUGAGAAAUGGACGCAAGGUUGACACAGCGAUGCAGCGGGGCUGAGAAAGGGCUGAGGGUUGUAAGGUAGUUACAGUGAUGAGGGGGUAUGUGCAGAAGAAGGACCGGCUAACUCCGUGCCAGCAGCCGCGGUAAUUC